rnacentral:rRNA from 2 species
UACGAGGGGAGCAAGCGUUGUUCGGAAUCAUUGGGCGUAAAGGGCGCGUAGGCGGCAGUACAAGUCUGGGGUGAAAGCCCUCGGCUUAACCGAGGAAUUGCCUUGGAAACUGUACAGCUUGAGUAUUGGAGAGGAAAGCGGAAUUCCCAGUGUAGCGGUGAAAUGCGUAGAUAUUGGGAGGAACACCGGUGGCGAAGGCGGCUUUCUGGACAAUCACUGACGCUGAGGCGCGAAAGCCAGGGGAGCAAACGGG